UCAAAAGCAAGUUUAAAACCUAUGCUAUCUGUGGGGCCAUUUGCAGGGUGGGUGAGUUAGACGACUCUAUUUCUCCGACUAACCAAGAACGAGGGCCUCGUCUCAAAGAACUUCUAACUGGAGAGGAUCCUGGAUGUGUACUAUUUGUCAUAAACAAAUAGUGACACCGCUCCCCCCCCCCCCCAAAACACCUGAACUCCUGGUAUCCUGGUUCUACCGUGUCCUCACUAUGUGACCAAAGGCGAGUUAUUCUGCCUGUCUGCUGUGUGAGUUUCUCUUCAUAGAAUGAGGACAGUUCCUAUAGCACGGGGAUGUAAUGAGGACUGGAUGUAAUGAUAGAGGUAAAGCAUCUGGCAUGUAGUUGAAGCUAAAUCUGUGUUUUCUUGCUGCUGUGAGGUCUCUGCUGUUCCAUUCCUUAUCAAAGCGAGUUGGUUCCAGUCACUUGCAUAGCGAGUUCCCCACAGCAUAAGCUCUUAAGACCGAAGCUUUGAUUGGAACUUGCAGGGCUGAGAUGCCUGUUUCAUGCAUAUGUUCAGGGUGAAUGGACCCUUGGGUAGUACAGUGUUCGGCAUUCCUAUUUACAACUUACCCGACCCUUCUUUCUGGUCUUGGGUUCAUGCUUGAAUUCUUUCAUUCAACAUCUGAAACUAAUUGACCUCCAAACUCAGGAGAAUGAUGAACUUUGUUAAAUUAAUCCCUGCUCUUCCUGACCCUAAAGCCGCUCCCAUGUGGAAUUUCCUGUGUGAGGAGUAGGCUUUGGGAAGUCAACAAGUUUUGUCCAGGUGGCUUUCUCUGUUCAUGACUCUGGAAUGAGUGUGGCUCAUCUCCAGAUUCACAGCCAUACCAGCCUCUCUGGAGAUUAUUUGCUUUUCUUUGAGAUUCCCCCUGGACCUCCUGAGUGAGUUUUGUGGAUAUCAUGUAGUUUAUGUUUUUUUUAUAGCUUUAUUGAGACAUACUUCACACAUUAUAUAUUCCACUUAUUUAAAAUGUAUCAUUCAGCCAUUUUAGCAUAUCCACAGUUGCACAACCAUCACUACAAUGAAUUUUAGAAUAUUUUCAUCCCCCCAAUAAAUGCUGUACCUGUUAGCAGUCACUCUCCUUUUCCCUCAACUCCUCCCUCCCCACCCACAAACCCUAGACAAACACUAAUAUACUCUUUGUCUCUCUAAAUUUUCAUAUUCUGGACAUUUCGUAUAAAUGGAAUUAUGCGAUGUAUGUAUGGCCUUUUGUGAUUGGCUUCUUUCACUUAGCAUAAUGUUUUCACCGUUUACCCAUGUUCUAGUAUGUAUCAAUGCUUAUUUUCUUUGUAUUGCUGAAUACUAUUUCAGCAUAUGGAUAUACCACAUUUUAUUCAUUCACCAGUUGAUGGCUAUUUGGGUUGUUCUACUUUUCGGCUGUUAAGAAUAAUUCUGUGAACAUUUGUGUGUAAGUUUUUGUGUGGACAUGUUUUCAUGUCUCUUGGGUAUAGAUGUAGGAGUGGAAUUGCUGAGUCAUGUAAUAGCUCUGGUCAUUUAGGGAACUGCUAGGGUGUCUUCCACUGGACAUAUUUUACAUUUCCACCAGCAGAGUAUGAAGGUUCCAAUGUCUCCACAUCCUCACCACCACUUAUCAUCCGUCUAUUUUGCAUGUGGUCAUUGCGGUGAGUGUGAAAUGGUAUCGCAUUGUCGUUCCUACUAGCUUAUGUUUUAAGUUAGACCACAUCAAACAUGCUUUCCGAAUCUAGCGACACCUCUCCACAGUUAUCCUCAUGUAACACGAUGACAAAGAAUGGCUAGAAUUUGAGGAGGGGGACACGAGACAGUGGCGGGUGGAGAAAGUGAGGGAGGUUAGGGUGUCGCGGGUCGUCCCUUUCUCCAUUCUCCUGCUGCUCCUAGCUUUGACUUCUGUUUUAGCCAGUAAAGGGCCUGACACAUAGUGGGUUAUUGCUGGAGAUGUCUGUUCUCUCCUAGCACCCACACCUUUGCAGGGUAGCCUUGCAGCUUCUCCUUUCAAGAGGUGGAAUCUAUUUCCUCACUCCUGACUGGCCCUCCUGACUCUAGACUUCACUCAUUCACUCCAGUCCAUUCUUCCUCCUCACUGUAGCCAGUGAUUUUUUUCCCUGUUUCAAGCCUGCUUGAAAUAUCCCUGCUUAAAAUUCUAAAACGGUUUUUCACUACCUUGCAAAGAAGUCCAUACCCCUUAAUGUGACAGUUGAGUCCCUGAGGGGGCUGACCCAACUGAUAUUUUCAGCCUCACCUAUCUUAACAGCUUGCACAUCCUCAGGGAUGCCAUGCUAUUUGCCAUUGCCUCUGCUUGGAACAUAACCCCCUCCCCGCCCUUUUGGCCAUCUUCUGCUCGUCUUUGAAAUUUCAGCGAGAUUUCACUUCCUGUAGGAAACCUCCCCUCACCCUAUCCUGAGACUGAAUUAGUGCUCCUGAGUAUGCCCAAAACGUCCUGACAAUUUGACCUUUCCCACAGCACUUUACAGUUUCUGCAGUUGUCUCCAUUGCGAGGCUGUGGGCAACUGGAGGGGCCCAGGGCUGGUUAAAUAUUUGGGAACUGACAGAAUAUCCGCCUGAAGCCCCGUGCUGUGAUUGUUCAUCUGUCCCAGCAAGCGUCUUGAGGGCUGUACAAUCGUCCCCAUGUUCAACACAGUGCGUGGCAUCUGAGCCUUUGUAGUCCGUGGAACAGCCAGAUGGUCACUGUAGGUAGAGGUUCUGAGCUGGGCAAGAGAGAGUGGACAACAGUGCUUACAGUUCAGUAUGCCGAAGGUACUGAAGCAGCCUCUCCAUACUAACUCCAAGCAAAUCAGAAGAGUGGCAACAACCCAGCGAGAGCCCAGGUUUUUCAGGAGAGCUAGCGCAUUGAAUUACAUUGGUUGCAAAUUCAUUUUCCUCUUCAGUUAUUGUUAAAACUUUGUCAUUAGGAUAUUUCAGAAGAGAAACAAGUUUUUGGUUUUCUCACCGACUAGCCUUGACAGUUGACAGUUCAACUCCAUAUAUUUGUCUGUAGUAGUGAUUCUUAAGGUUGUAAAAUUCCUAGUAUUGUCUAGCCCAGUAAUUCCUGCCUGGAUGCAUCAAAAUAGAAAUUCUGAUGCGAUAAAUCUGGUCUUGUGUUAAGUUAGAGGCCUGAAUCCUCAUAGUCUUUUCUUGAAAGCCUCCAGGGAUUGGGAGCUCAUGAAGUAAAAUGUAUCACAUUCCAAUUCUGGAUAGACAUUAGGAGAGUCUCCUUUAUAUUGAACUGAAAUCCCCCUGAAACUCUACACUUAGUGCUAGUUUGCCCCUAUGGAGUAUAAUUUGUCUUUGCACUUUUCCAUAUGUCAGUCCUUCAGCUCUGUAGAGGCUGAUCACCUCUGCCCCUUCCCCCCAACCCCCUUCCUAAUGUUUUCUCCUAGAGAAACCUCUCCUGUUCUCACACUAUACCUCACAGGAAUGAUCUCCAGGCCUACUGAGUUUUGUUUGUAAUUGCAUUAAAGAGCAGAGCACCAAAUGAGACAGUUCACCACAGCAUGGACUAACCAAUCAGGGGCUGAGAGAGGGCUUGCUCUCAUCCUAUUUCUUGCCAUUAUUUCUUUUGAUCUAGCCUGUGAUCACUUUUAAUUCACAGUGAAUUUGCAGUUGUCAUAGGGUGAGCUUAUUAUGAUUAACCCAAAGCCAGGUCUUUUCUCACCUGUAACUCAGCCCAUGUCUGCUAUAAAUCUAAGUAAUUGGCUUUUAUAAGCAACAGCUGGUGUUUGUCUUGUUAGAUUGUGUCUUUCCAGUCCAAACCAAUCCUUUCUAAGCAGGAAGCGAUAGGCUCAGAAGAGGGAGCUGUAGCAGCAGUACAGUACUUGGGGAACUAGGGCAAGGUUGGCUAUCUACUGCUGUUUCCCAGUUUAGGGAGCAGCUCCAUGUGGGUACUUAGUCAUUAGAGAACAGCCCAGACUGUCUGCAUUUCUUUAUCGUUUAUUUACUUAUUGAAAGAGCAUGCGUGCAUGUGAGAGCAGGGGAGGGGCAGAGAGAACCCCAAGCAGGCUCUGUGCUGUCAGCACAAAGCCCAACAAGGGGCUUAGUCUCACAAACUGUGAGAUCAUGACCUGAGCUGAAAUCAAGAGCCCACUUAACCGACUGAGCCACCCAGGUGUCCUAGACUGUCUGCAUUUCUAACAAAAUUGGAACUGCCUCCAUUUCUUCCUGUGUGUGGUACCCCCGACAUUGUGCUGAACAUGUUGCCUUCAUUAUCUCAUUUAGUCCCUGCAGCGGCCCAGAGCACAUCCUGCUGUGAAAUCUCUUCUAGUGAUUCUGGUGGUCUAGAAACAUCAGAUUCAUCUCAGGUUUUAGCCCAGAGAUUCUAAUUCAGUGGGAAUGACGUGGAGCCAGGAAAUUUACCCUUUUCAAGUAAUCCCAGUGAUCCAAUGCGUAUGUAUGUUUGGCAGUGACUGUUUUAAUUAGUGGCUUAGUUACUUGGCUCUCGAACAAGACAGCGUGGGUCUGAUUCAUCUUUCUCCCUCUAGAGCUUGCUGCAGCAGAAACCCUCAGGGAAGAUGGCCGAAUGAAAAUUCAGAUGCAUGGUUAAGAGUCAGGAGAGUGAAGAUGUCCAGUGUUGUGGGUCCUGAGCUUUCUGGAGGCCAGCCAGGGGGAUCUUCAGACCUCCACAGGGCUGCAUGACCACACAGGGACAACCCAGGACCAGCAGGAGCUGCAGGGAGCACAGAGGCUGACUCAGCAGAAGGAAGAACUUUCAUACUGACUCCCCUGAUGGGAGAGGAUUGCCCCAUCACAGCAAGUGGGCACAGACCUGAUGACUGUCUGGCAGGAAUUUUACAGAGCAGAUUCAUGCCAGGACUGGACUGUUGACUCCAAAGUCCCUACCAGCCCUGGAACAUGAAGUGACACCAGCUAGAGAUGCCUGGGUUUACCUGAGAGCAAGGUGGUCAGUGCACUGUUUUGGUUCAGGACGUAGGUCCUCCGGGUUGACGUGCCCCCUCCCCAAGAGCUGGAGAGCCCUGAGAAGUACAGAAUGGAUCCUGUACUGUGGAAAUGUGCCAGGAAACAAUCAGAGACUCCCAACAUGAAUUGUCAUUUGUGGAGGGAGUGGCUGUUACCUGACUCUGUCUUCAUGCACCAGUGUAGCACAAACAGCAGCUUUAUUGGUGAUGCUUGGGAAGCUGUGGCAGAGCCCAGCAUGCAGGCUGUGUGGGCUCAGACAGCUUCCAGCAGACAGGGGAUGAGGGGAUUAGCCUCAGUGGGCUCUGCUGCUUGGGGCACAUUGUCCCUUCUCAGUUCUUUGAGGCAAGUGUGCAGGAAGAGGGUUCAGCACUUCACAAACUGGUGGGUGACCUCGUAGAUUCCCACAGAUUCCUGAGCUUUUUCGUCAUAGUCAGUCCAGUCCUGUGGGGGAAAAUGGCCGUUAUUAGCCUCACGAGAUGGGACAGUGUGCACAGUGGUCACGAACUGGGACUUCAAACAUGUAUGACCCAGAACAGAGCCAGACUCCGUUUUGGGCAAGUCACUUAACUUCUCUGAGUCUCAGUUCUAUUAAAAGGGUGGGGGGGGGGGGGGGGGGGAGAACAGUAGCAGACCUCCAUCUUGAAAGAAUCAAAUGAGGAAACACAUGUAAAAGUAUUCAGCAUAGUACUGGGUGCAUAUAAGAGCUCAGUAAAUUUCAGUUACUGUUGUUAUUAGGUGCUAUGCAAACUGAAGUUUCUGUUCUUUUGAAGCCUGACCACAAGGCCUAUGUAAGACAGUAAUGUGGCCAGUAAUACAGUUGAUUCUUGUUAUUCAUGGUAGUUACAAUCUACAUAAUCACUACAAACACUGAAUUAGCAAACAGUGAACCACUAUUCCCAGGGAAAAUAUAAGGUUAGGUUCUCAGAAGCAUCUGAUCACAUUUUCUUCAAUCAAUAUAUAACCUUGUUUUGGGUAGGUUUUUGUUAAAAACAAACAAAAAAAAAAACACCUUAUUUAAUAUAUAUAGUUGAUUCAUUAAUAUUGAACUCCUAGCUGACAGCACUAUUACUCCUGCCUAAACAAAGCUGAUCUAACAUGCAUUUUCUCCAUGCAUUUUCACCCCAGACUUCUUGCUUGUGGAACACUAGACAGCACUUUAGUACUACACUUGGGGCCAUUUUAAACACCAAAAUCAUCAGCAAAAAAAACGUGGAGUCAGCUUUGUAUUGAUGAUCUUUGUUCACUAGAAGGGUAAUUCCCACCAGGUACCCUCCAGCACCCUGCAAGACCCCCUAAGUCCUGUACCUUCUCCUGAAGAUUAAUAUCACUGAAGACCGUCCCCGAUUCCACGCCCUCGGCAGCAAACCCAGCCUGUAGGUGACAGGACGGCAGCUGUUAGUCUGGGGAAAGGAGGCACCAGUCUGGCAUGUGAGGACAGAGAUGCAGCGGGGGCACCUGCUCUAGAAUAACUACUGCACUUCCAGGGCCUGGCAGCUGCCCCAGGAGUAUAGUAGUUCCUCCAAACUAGAGCCUUGGACCAGAGGCAGGAGGUGUGGGGUAAACCUUUGCAUUACCCAGUUUUCUGAGAUCCUAGGCACGUCACUCCCCUAUCUGGACCUGAGUCAUAUUGUUUAUGAAAUGGGGAUGACAAGACUGUCUCAUCUCCCUGCCUCACAGAUUUGUUGUGAGGUCAAAAUGCUGCACAACUAAAGUGGGAUAAGCACUGGCUCUGGAGUCUGACAGACCUGGGUUCAAAUAACAGUACCAGUGUUUAUGAACUCUGUCACCCUGGGCAAGUUGCAAAAUCUGAAAUUCUUUCCUUGUCUGAAAGAUAGGGUGAAUAACUUCACAAGGUCACUGUGAGGAUUAAACGAAGUAACACGUAAAAGUGACCAGAACGUGCCCAUCAUAUGGUAGGCACUUAAUAAAUAACAAUUAUUAUUCUGAGAAGGAAGUCCUAGUCCAUGGUCUCUGCAUGUCGCUUUCUAUAUGCCCUCCCCAAAGAUACAGGUUCCCUGGGAAGAUACACGCACCUGAGGCUGGAAAUCAACUGGUUCAAGGCCCCGACACUCAAACUCUACAAUUGUCUUGAACUUCUCAUUGUCUUCAGCCUAGAAAGGAAUGUGUUGAGGGGGCAGGCCCAACUGGGCCCUUAGGAUGAUCCCACUGCCCCUGCUCUUCCUGCCAAGUGGGCCCAACUGCCCUUGUGAGCCCAGAAUGGGACUCAGGAGCAACCCAUUCCCUUCUGGAAGAAGUCUGCACUGGUCACCUGCUCCCCAUGAGACCUUCUUGUACACAGAUGCUGUAGAAGAAACACUGUGGGUUCUACAGUCAGCCUGCCUGGAUAUGAGCUCAGACAGAGCUCUGCCUUCUGCCUCUCUUCCCAUCUAAGAUGGUCAGACUGGGCUGAAGAAACCACUGCAGGUUUGUUGUGAGAAUCUGAACUAUGUGUAAAGUGCCCAGCUAUAGUCCCUGACUAUGCUCAAUAAAUAAAAUUCUCAAAAAAUAUGAA